AUUGAACGCUGGCGGCAUGCCUUACACAUGCAAGUCGAACGGUAACAGGUCUUCGGAUGCUGACGAGUGGCGAACGGGUGAGUAAUACAUCGGAACGUGCCCAGACGUGGGGGAUAACGAGGCGAAAGCUUUGCUAAUACCGCAUACGAUCUAAGGAUGAAAGCAGGGGACCGCAAGGCCUUGCGCGUUUGGAGCGGCCGAUGGCAGAUUAGGUAGUUGGUGGGAUAAAAGCUUACCAAGCCGACGAUCUGUAGCUGGUCUGAGAGGACGACCAGCCACACUGGGACUGAGACACGGCCCAGACUCCUACGGGAGGCAGCAGUGGGGAAUUUUGGACAAUGGGCGAAAGCCUGAUCCAGCAAUGCCGCGUGCAGGAUGAAGGCCUUCGGGUUGUAAACUGCUUUUGUACGGAACGAAAAGGCCCUGGCUAAUACCUGGGGCGCAUGACGGUACCGUAAGAAUAAGCACCGGCUAACUACGUGCCAGCCGCCGCGGUAA
rnacentral:rRNA from 1 species